UAUUGUUGCUCUCAAUAACCCUUCCCGGGAAAAAAAGCCGUCGCCAUUUUCAUCUGCUUCUCCAUGGAGAGUUCUAGCAAGGAAUCGGCCGCCAAAGUUCUUUUAUUGGGUAAGCGAAAGCCGGAAGAUGAUCCGGAGACCAAACCGAUUCUCAGGAAGCAUAAGGAAACAUCGGAGGAGAAGGAGACAACGGAAGGAUUUGCCUGUAGUCUUCAGCAGAAUUCUGAGCAGGAUAAUCUAACCUCAGCGAAGGCUGCUUCCGUAACGCUCUUUGUCUCCGGUCUCUCUAGGCAAACAAAAAUAUCAGAUAUCAUCGAUUUCUUCAGUGAUGUUGGAGAAGUUGUUCAUGUUCGAAUUUGUAUAACCCACGAGGGUAGGCGGUUGCGCUCUGGCUUUGUUGAGUUUACUUCUGCUAGUGAGGCAAACAAGGCAAUGGAAAAGAAGAACGGUGAAUAUUUGCACGAUCAAGAGAUUUCUCUUAGAGUGGCUCAGACAACUCCAUACCGUCCACCCAAGUUUUGCAUGGAUCACAAGGAACCAUGACUCCUUUCAACUAGAAAGCCUUCCGAUAGAAGAAGAUGAGACACCUCUUGAUUUUGUUGAGGAAGUAGUCAUUGUUUCCAAUCUCUCUCCCCAAACUAAAAUAGCACAUAUCAAAGGUUUCUUCAAUGAUGUUGCAGAAGUCGUUAGCGUUCGACUUGUUGUUAACCACGAGGGUAAGCAUGUGGGCUAUGGCUUUGUUGAGUUUGCUUCUGCUUACGGAGCAAACAAGGCUCUGGAAGAGAAGAAUGGUGACUAUCUGCACGAUCAUCAGAUUUUGUUGAUGAGAGGACAUGAAUCUCCUGGUUUUGUUGAGGAAGCUGCCAUAACAAAAACGCUCUUUGUUGCCAAUCUCUGUGACACCAUUAAGAUAUCAGAUAUCAUCAAUUUCUUCAAAGAUGUUGGAGAAGUUGUUCAUGUUCGACUUGUUGUAAACAGCCAGGGCAAGCAUGCGGGCUGGGGCUUUGUUGAGUUUGCUUCUGCUAACGAAGCAGAGAAGGCGCUGGUAAAGAACGGGGAAUAUUUGCACAAUUACAAGAUUUCUCUUGACGUGGCUAAGACAGCUCCAUACCGUCCUCCCAAGUUUUGCCUAGAUCACAAGGUUUGGUACGAAGACUACCUUCGAAGAGAAAGCCUUCUGAUUAAAGAAGAUGAGGCAGUGGAAGGACUUGAUGAAACUCCUGAUUUUCUUGAGGAAGCUGCUGCAAGAAAAAAGACACUCUUUGUCGCCAAUCUCCCUUACAGCUGUCGUCGAAUUGUACCAACUAUCAUCAAUUUCUUCAAAGAUGUUGGAGAAAUUGUUCAUGUUCGAAUUAUUGUAGACCACAUGGGUGUGCCUGUGGGCUGUGGCUUUGUGGAGUUUAAUUCUUCGAACGAAGCAGAGAAGGCGCUGCAAAAGAAGAAUGGUCAGUAUAGUAAGAUUUCUGUUGACGUGGCUGAGAUAGCUUUAUACCCUGUUGGACCAAAGUACAACGUUGCAAAGAAGCUUUGGUACGAAGAUAACCUUCGACGAGGAAGGCUUCUGAUAAAAGAGAAGACCGAACCGGAUCUGAAGAAACCUUCACUGAUGAGUUUAUGCUGCGGUCAGAAGGUUACCUUCUCUGACGACGACUGAUAGAAGAAGAUUUUAAACUCCUUGGUGUGACAGAAUGCAACUCUUAUAUAUUAGUUCGACUUAUAUUAUGUCCUGGUUAAGUUUAUGUCCGAACGUGGUUAUAUUAUGUCCUGGUUAAGUUUAUGUCCGAACGUGGUUAAGCUUUUGUCUGAACGUAACCUUAAGCUACUUUUGAAUGUUUUGGUGUUAAAUCACUAUCUACCUUCAUUAUUA